rnacentral:rRNA from 1 species
AUUGAACGCUGGCGGAAUGCUUUACACAUGCAAGUCGAACGGCAGCACGGACUUCGGUCUGGUGGCGAGUGGCGAACGGGUGAGUAAUACAUCGGAACGUGCCCAGUCGUGGGGGAUAACGUAGCGAAAGCUACGCUAAUACCGCAUACGAUCUAAGGAUGAAAGCGGGGGAUCGCAAGACCUCGCGCGAUUGGAGCGGCCGAUGGCAGAUUAGGUAGUUGGUAGGGUAAAGGCCUACCAAGCCGACGAUCUGUAGCUGGUCUGAGAGGAUGAUCAGCCACACUGGGACUGAGACACGGCCCAGACUCCUACGGGAGGCAACAGUGGGGAAUUUUGGACAAUGGGCGCGAGCCUGAUCCAGCCAUUCCGCGUGCAGGAUGAAGGCCUUCGGGUUGUAAACUGCUUUUGUACAGAACGAAAAGGCUCUGGUUAAUACCCGGGGCUCAUGACGGUACUGUAAGAAUAAGCACCGGCUAACUACGUGCCAGCCGCCGCCGUAA